UUUACUUCUUUUUAUUUUCCAUCUCUCUCUCUCUCUCUCUAAAGCUGUUUUGCCCCCCUCUUCUCUCUCUAUCAUAUUUUUGUCUGUAUAACGUUCUUUGGCCGGCGAAGCCGUUAUUCUCUUGAAUUCAGUCAAUCAUCCACUGCCCAUUUCCAAGACUUUGACCGAUCUUCGAUCGCAGAAUCGUGGCCGUUGAUGGGGCAUUGCUGCAGCAAGAGCGUUUCAGUCUCAUUCGUCAAGGACGACGACAACACCGUCGUCGCCGCCGCCCCCCCCACCACCACCACCGCCACCGCCGCCGGCGGAUCAAAAUCACCGAUUCCGGCGGCGCAAUCCUCCGGUAACGGAACCACACCAGUUCACUCCUUCUCAGCCAGCCCAUGGCAAAGCCCUUACCCGGCCGGCGUAGCUCCGUCGCCGGCGAUGACUCCUCGGAGAAUGUUCAAGUGGCCAUUCCCUCCGCCGUCGCCGGCGAAGCCGAUCAUGUCGGCGAUUCUGAAGCGGCAAGGAGCUUCGAAGCCCAAGGAGGGCCCCAUACCGGAAGAUGAACGCGGAGGAGUUGAGAGGCAGCUGGAUAAGAGCUUCGGAUACCCGAAAAAUUUCGCGGCGAGGUAUGAAUUGGGGAAGGAGGUGGGUAGAGGGCAUUUUGGUCAUACUUGUUGGGCAAAGGUCAAGAAGGGAGAGCUUAAGAAUCAACCUGUUGCUGUGAAGAUAAUUUCCAAAGCUAAGAUGACAACAACAAUAUCAAUUGAAGAUGUUCGUAGGGAAGUGAAGAUAUUAAAAUCCUUGUCUGGGCAUAAGAAUCUAGUCAAGUUCUAUGAUGCCUUUGAGGAUGCCCAAAAUGUCUACAUCGUAAUGGAAUUGUGUGAAGGUGGAGAACUACUAGACAGAAUUUUAUCAAGAGGUGGAAGAUAUCCAGAGGAGGAUGCUAAAGCGAUUGUCAUCCAGAUAUUAAGUGUAGUUGCUUUUUGUCAUCUUCAAGGUGUUGUACACCGUGAUCUAAAACCAGAGAAUUUUCUUUUUACUACUAGAGAUGAGGAUGCUCCCAUGAAGGUUAUUGAUUUUGGUCUAUCUGAUUAUAUUAGGCCAGAUCAACGUCUCAACGAUAUUGUCGGCAGUGCAUUCUAUGUUGCACCUGAAGUACUCCAUAGAUCAUACAGUUUUGAAGCAGAUAUGUGGAGUAUUGGAGUUAUAACAUAUAUAUUGUUAUGUGGAAGCAGACCUUUCUAUGCAAGAACUGAAUCAGGAAUUUUUCGUUCUGUGCUAAGAGCUGAUCCAAAUUUUGAUGAUUCGCCUUGGCCUGGGGUAUCAUCAGAAGCCAAAGAUUUUGUCAGAAGGCUUCUGAACAAGGAUCACAGGAAAAGAAUGACUGCUGCUCAAGCACUAACUCACCCAUGGUUGCGAGAUGAAAACCAAGAUGUGCCUUUAGAUUUCCUGAUCUACAAAUUAGUCAAGUCAUAUGUUCGUGCCACACCUUUAAAGCGUGCAGCAUAUAAGGCUCUCUCCAAAGCCUUAACAGAGGACGAGCUCAUUUACCUUAGGGCUCAGUUUAGGCUCUUGGAACCAAAAGAUGGGCGUGUCUCACUCGAUAAUUUUAGGACGGCUCUUGUGAAAAAUGUAACUGAUGCCAUGAAAGAUUCGAUAGUUCCUGAUAUUUUGAAUAUGAUGGAACCGCUCUCAGCAUAUAAAAAUGGAUUUUGAGGAAUUCUGUGCUGCGGCAAUAAGCACGUACCAACUCGAGGCUCUUGAAGGAUGGGAGAAUAUUGCAAGCACAGCAUUCAAGUAUUUUGAGCAAGAAGGAAACCGAGUCAUUUCAGUUGAGGAAUUGGCCCAGGAAAUGAAAUUGGGUCAUACGACUCACUCUUUACUCAAGGAUUGGAUUAGAAGCUCCGAUGGAAAACUAAGUUUCCUCGGCUAUACUAAGUUUUUGCAUGGUGUGACAAUUCGCAGUGCUAACACAAGACAUCAAUAGAAUGCAUGUCUAAUCAUGGACAUAAAUUUGUCAAAUGAAAUUUCCUUUUUAAUGCCUGGUUUUGGUUUUCAUUCUUUUUUUUUUUUUUUUUUUU